UUUUAUGGAGAGUUUGAUCCUGGCUCAGGAUGAACGCUGGCGGCGUGCCUAAUACAUGCAAGUCGAGCGAACGGACGAGAAGCUUGCUUCUCUGAUGUUAGCGGCGGACGGGUGAGUAACACGUGGAUAACCUACCUAUAAGACUGGGAUAACUUCGGGAAACCGGAGCUAAUACCGGAUAAUAUUUUGAACCGCAUGGUUCAAAAGUGAAAGACGGUCUUGCUGUCACUUAUAGAUGGAUCCGCGCUGCAUUAGCUAGUUGGUAAGGUAACGGCUUACCAAGGCAACGAUGCAUAGCCGACCUGAGAGGGUGAUCGGCCACACUGGAACUGAGACACGGUCCAGACUCCUACGGGAGGCAGCAGUAGGGAAUCUUCCGCAAUGGGCGAAAGCCUGACGGAGCAA
rnacentral:rRNA from 1 species